UCAGCGAUUCCUGGCUGACCUUUGCCUUCUCAGCGUAUAGGCAGGAAUUAUGCACAAUCCAACAACAUGCAUUUUUCUCCUAAGGAAAAUCCCUAGUGAUUAUGAAUGACAGAAUCGUUACCACGUACAUAAAGCGAGUUCCUCAGGGAGGUUUAUCUGAGGGACCCAGGUAGGAACCACACCUUCAACUGCAUAUUAACCACCAUAAGAAGAGGUUAGGUUGGAAAUGCAAGAAGAAUGGAACAACAAUUUCCAGCUCCAAGUGGAAUCCCAAAGUACAGAGCAGCAAAUGAACACCAAUGGAAAACCACAUUUUGAACUUUUUCAAGAUGCAAUUGGUCCAUCCCUGAUUACACCUUACGCACUUUGCAGUAUGCUACUGCAUUCUUGUUAGACAUUCCUCACUUGUGUUUGACAAAUAAUGCUCAUUGUAGUCCAAGUGAAAUCAGCUGCAUGCUUGACAGCAGAACCACUGCUACUGGCCAACACACCAAAAAGAUGUUUGAAACAAUUUCACAGCUCAGAAUCGCUAGGAGAUCAAAGAGUCAAAAGUCAUAAUUGAGCACUGUGGAACAUAGGAAAAAAUUGACUCUUUCUUUCCCUCCCUGCAGCUUGUGUUUUGGGAUAGGGAAUAAUUACUAGCACCAACAAGAGUGAGCCCAAGAAGAAUAAGAAAUGUAUGUGUGUGGUGUGGGGGGGAAGGUAUUUUUAAAAGGCCUCUUGGAUACAUUUAGUUUUCAAGCUAAAAGUAGGAGAGAGAUUGAGAUGCACAAUGAUCCAAGCAAUUGUAGCUAUUAGGAACAAAUGAAUUAGUUUGGGGAGGAAAAUGAUAAAUCCUGAAUUGUUGACUGCAUUCUGGAUAGCCUCUGAGCCAGCAACAGGAUAGGACCCGCAGAAGAGAGAAUGCUAGGCAUAUGGCUCACCUCACUGUCCCCUUAUGAUAAGGAAUUUGUUGGAGGGUCAGUAAUUGGGAAUUUGGAGUUUAGGAAUGGGGCAAGAAAAAGGAUUAAAGGCUUGAUCUAAAGACCGCUGAUGUCAAUGAGAGCCUUCAGACCCUUAAUAGGGUUGGGAGUGUGUCUACGAGAACCACCACUGAACCAUCUGAAACGCACUCAUCAUUUUCCAGGCUAAGUUCUUUCUCUGAGUGCCAGCUGUGGUGAAGGGAGCUAAGGGAUGCUUGGGGCAGGGGAGAGCAGGUGUGAAGGUGCGGGCCGUUAGUGACAGUGCCCAGAUGCACUUCCUCGGCAGUGCAGAGGCAAUCAGAAUGCCUCCUGGGCCCAGGACGAAGCACGCUCUGCGAGGACAGGGAUUUAGUCUCUUUAAUCAAAAUGAAUCUCAGAGCAUUUCGAGGUCACGCUUCCCACACAGUGCCUGCCUCAGAACUCCAUCCAGGGUGGGGCCCAGCUAAGCUCCCUGAUAUUCCUCUGCAUCUUGUGCUCAAGUGCAAACAUUGGGACCACGGAUACCCUGGCCUAAGUGCAUAUGACAAUGCAGAGGGCUCCCAGUGCCCUCUCUCCUGCCCUUGUGUGUGACUCUGAGCAGCCUAGCUUUAAAGCUUUCACCUGAAAGAGUGGAAGACAACUGCUGAGUCCAGUUCUGGUGCUCACUAUUCAAAAAGAAUGCUGAUAAACUGGAGGGAUUCAGAGACGACCUGUGAGGAAAGAUUGAAAAAAUUGGGUUUGU